UACGGAGGAUGCGAGCGUUAUCCGGAUUUAUUGGGUUUAAAGGGUGCGUAGGCGGACUGUCAAGUCAGCGGUAAAAUUGAGAGGCUCAACCUCUUCCCGCCGUUGAAACUGGCGGGCUGGAGUGCCGGAGAGGUAAGCGGAAUUCCUAGUGUAGCGGUGAAAUGCGUAGAUAUUAGGAGGAACACCAGUGGCGAAGGCGGCUUACUGGACGGCAACUGACGCUGAGGCUCGAAAGCGUGGGGAGCAAACAGG
rnacentral:rRNA from 1 species